rnacentral:rRNA from 1 species
UACGUAGGGUGCAAGCGUUGUCCGGAAUUAUUGGGCGUAAAGAGCUCGUAGGCGGUCAGUCGCGUCUGCUGUGAAAACUCGGGGCUUAACUCCGGGCCUGCAGUGGGUACGGGCUGACUAGAGUGCGGUAGGGGAGACUGGAAUUCCUGGUGUAGCGGUGAAAUGCGCAGAUAUCAGGAGGAACACCGGUGGCGAAGGCGGGUCUCUGGGCCGAUACUGACGCUGAGGAGCGAAAGCGUGUGGAGCGAACAGG